CCACAGUUGCUUGUAUUGGUUGAUGUUGGGUUCAGGAAAUAUCAGAAACAACUAAUGCCCUUCAAUUUUUGAGUCAGCUUCUAUCCACUUUACCCACCUGCAGAAAGUGUCCCCUUGGACUUUUCGCUUGCUCCAGAAGCCCUUAAACUUUCAUUGGUUCCGGACGUACUUAUCCUACCUUCAGACAUCAAGCACUUUGUCAAGGUACUUAGCAGCGAAAGUGAAGGCAUAAAUAACACGAAAUGAAGAAAUUUGCAGCUGUCAAUCCGGGUAGACUAGCCAAGGGGGAAGGAGGGGGAACUUUUGUAGAGCUUGAUUAUGGUGGGGGUUCCAAUCUAAUUAACGCUUCAAUUGUUGGCAUAUGAUGAUGAAGAUUCGUUUUGUUAAGGUAACCACUGAAUUAACCUACAUGAUGUUAGUUAUUUUGUUGAAUCGAAACAGUAAAAAUGUUUCCUCUACAAACCACAUCGGCCAGACCACCCGUUUAAUUAAUCAAUACAUUAAUCAUAUUUAUUACUUUAGAAAAUUUUAUUUUUUUGUAUGUACA
rnacentral:sRNA from 1 species